rnacentral:rRNA from 1 species
UACGUAGGUGGCAAGCGUUGUCCGGAAUUAUUGGGCGUAAAGCGCGCGCAGGCGGCCUUUUAAGUCUGAUGUGAAAUCUUGCGGCUCAACCGCAAGCGGUCAUUGGAAACUGGGAGGCUUGAGUACAGAAGAGGAGAGUGGAAUUCCACGUGUAGCGGUGAAAUCCGUAGAUAUCGGGAGGAAUACCAGCGGCGAAGGCGGCCUUCUGGACGGUGACUGACGCUGAGACGCGAAAGCGUGGGGAGCAAACAGG